CGUAGGGUGCGAGCGUUGUCCGGAAUUAUUGGGCGUAAAGGGCUCGUAGGCGGUUUGUCGCGUCGGGAGUGAAAACCUCGGGCUUAACUCGGGCUUGCUUUCGAUACGGGCAGACUAGAGGUAUGCAGGGGAGAACGGAAUUCCUGGUGUAGCGGUGAAAUGCGCAGAUAUCAGGAGGAACACCGGUGGCGAAGGCGGUUCUCUGGGCAUGAUCUGACGCUGAGGAGCGAAAGUGUGGGGAGCGAACAGGAUUAGAUACCCUGGUAGUCCACACCGUAAACGUUGGGCGCUAGGUGUGGGAUCCAUUCCACGGGUUCCGUGCCGCAGCUAACGCAUUAAGCGCCCCGCCUGGGGAGUACGGCCGCAAGGCUA
rnacentral:rRNA from 1 species